rnacentral:rRNA from 1 species
GAUGAACGCUGGCGGCGUGCCUAAUACAUGCAAGUCGAGCGAACAGACGAGGAGCUUGCUCCUCUGACGUUAGCGGCGGACGGGUGAGUAACACGUGGAUAACCUACCUAUAAGACUGGGAUAACUUCGGGAAACCGGAGCUAAUACAGGAUAAUAUAUUGAACCGCAUGGUUCAAUAGUGAAAGACGGUUUUGCUGUCACUUAUAGAUGGAUCCGCGCCGCAUUAGCUAGUUGGUAAGGUAACGGCGUACCAAGGCAACGAUGCGUAGCCGACCUGAGAGGGUGAUCGGCCACACUGGAACUGAGACACGGUCCAGACUCCUACGGGAGGCAGCAGUAGGGAAUCUUCCGCAAUGGGCGAAAGCCUGACGGAGCAACGCCGCGUGAGUGAUGAAGGUCUUCGGAUCGUAAAACUCUGUUAUUAGGGAAGAACAAAUGUGUAAGUAACUAUGCACGUCUUGACGGUACCUACUCAGAAAGCCACGGCUAACUACGUG